AACGCACAUUGCGCCCUCUGGUAUUCCGGGGGGCAUGCCUGUUCGAGCGUCAUUAUAACCACUCAAGCUCUCGCUUGGUAUUGGGGUUCGCGGUUUCGCGGCCCCUAAAAUCAGUGGCGGUGCCUGUCGGCUCUACGCGUAGUAAUACUCCUCGCGAUUGAGUCCGGCAGGUCUACUUGCCAGCAACCCCUAAUUUUUUUUAAGGUUGACCUCGGAUCAGGUAGGGAUACCCGCUGAACUUAA
rnacentral:misc_RNA from 1 species